rnacentral:rRNA from 1 species
GAAAGGGAAACGAUUGAAGUCAGUCGUACCGACGAGAAAUCAACUUAUCGUGUUCGAACUUGUGGGCGUGCGUGAGUUUCGGCCUCGCUGUUUGCAUGUUUGUGCGUUUUGGGUGUACUUUUUCGUAUGGUAGGCCAACGUCAGUUUCGAUUAUCAUAAAAUGACCGGCGGAAUGUAGCUUCGAUUUCGGUUGAAGUGUUAUAGCCUCUGGUAGAUGUGGUGAUUGAGACUGAGGAUUGCAACGAAUACCCUUUGGGCUAUCCGUCUGGCCUCUGAAAGUUGCUCAGGUGCCGAAAGCGUGCUUACGGUCAUCUAAGAUAACGUUCAACAGGUUAGAACGUGAUUACAUUCGUUAAGGAUGUUGACGUA